rnacentral:misc_RNA from 1 species
CAUUAAGGUUAUUUUAGAUAAGAAAGACGUAAAUAACGGCUUCAAUAUAAAGAAAGAUGUUGUUAACAGAAAAUAUAUCCUAUGAUAUGAAAGGAAAGUGAAGUUCAAGAAAACGAGCGUUUAUUACAUUGAACUUUCUGCACUGAAUUGAUAAUUGAUUAUAGUACUGAAAGCAAUGUAUGAAAGAAAUUUGUCGAUUACAUCGUUGCAUUAAAAAUAGAAAACGAAGAUAAAAUCGAGAGAAAAUGACGAAUUAAUUCGCAAGUAGACCGUAACAGCGCUUCUAGCGCUAGUAAUUGUCACUUUUCCGUUGACUAUCGUGCGAAUUUGUUCGAAUUAUUCGCGGUGCUCAUUUCUGUAGACACGGUCAUGUUUUAAUUGUUGUUUGUAAAAUAUGUUAAUUGAGUGGAUGCAAAAAUAUUACAUCACGUUUCAAUAAGUGUUACAUAAGUGCAUACAUAUAAGAUGACAGACCCAAAGCCAUCAGGACUAAGGCCACCGUCAAAAAUUGGUAGACCAUGCAGCAAUCUACCACCAAGACCAGCAGUUCCACCAUCGCCUCCAAGAUCAUCAAUGAACCAGAUGGAUCAUCUUUGGGAAACGCAUGGCCGUCGAUUAAGCGAGGCUGGCCUGCGCAGAGGAUCAGAUAACAGUGUCGUCUUAACAGAGGACACCGACAGCUUCAUAAUAGGAGAUCGAGUAUGGGUCGGUGGUACGAAGCCAGGUGCCAUUGCAUACAUCGGAGAGACGCAGUUCGCGCCAGGAGACUGGGCUGGUGUGGUCCUGGAUGAACCGAUCGGCAAGAACGAUGGAUCGGUGGCUGGCUGCCGAUACUUCCAGUGCGAGCCGAAACGAGGAAUAUUCUCUCGUUUGACGAGACUCACCAGGACGCCGUUGAUGGACGUGUCACCGACACAGAAGACUCCAACGUCGCCGAUUGGCAGCACGAGAGAAGGCCUAAGCAAGUCCAUGUCUCCGUCUUUGAACGCAUCAACAACGAGUCUGUCGUCCACGAUGUCGACGAGGGAUCUCAGGAUAGGCGACAGAGUAAUAGUAUCGUCCAGUCAAGGCAGUAAAACAGGUGUCCUCAGGUACAUGGGCAUCACAGACUUCGCAGCAGGCGACUGGUGCGGCGUAGAGCUUGAUGAUCCUAUUGGAAAAAACGAUGGUUCCGUUGGUGACAGAAGGUACUUCGAAUGUCGACCUAAAUACGGCUUGUUCGCACCCGCACACAAGGUCAGCCGAUCGCCAACUAGCAAAAGGUCAUCGUGCAUGGUGCAUAAGCCAACUGGCGCUGCGCUUAACUCGUCCCUGAAGAAGACUGGUUCCAGAGAAUCUCUCCUUUCACUGUCAAGUGUCGCCAGCACCGCAAGUGUCGCCACCAGGACUGGUGUUACCUCUGCGAGGAGGCCUGGUUUGCGCACGUCGACACCUGCACGAACCACACUGCAGGAAACGUUAAAAGAAAAGCAGCAGGAGAUAGAGUUCCUUCGAAAAGAGAGAGAUUUAGAACGUGAACGUGUUACAAAAGCCGCAAAUCAAGCAGACCAAGCAGAACAAUCUAUUAUUUCAAUAAAACAAGAAUAUGAACAGUAUCGAGAAAAGAUGCAAAAAACAGUUACAGAGGCAGAAUCUGCAUUCACAAAACUAUUGGCAGAAAAGAAUGCUCUGGCUUUACAAUUGGAGGAGGAGAAGAGGAAAUGCGAAGAUCUUCUGUUUCGGUUUGAAGAAGAAUCAGUCAAUAAGGAUGAUAUUCAGAAAGAGAGAACUGAGCAAUGUGUGAUAAAUACAGUAAAUGAAAAUAGGAUAAAGGAUCUCGAAAAGCAGUUGUUAGAGGAAAGGGAACGCGUUGCUCAAUUAGAACGUGAUAGCAUAAAAUUGUUUGAAACUGAAGAGGAAUUAACGCGUCUUCGUAAUGAGAUCUCUACUGUUACUGCUCAAGAUAAACAUCAGUUGGAAGAAUUGCAAAUUCACAACAAGACUCUGGAAGUAAUUAAAAACGAUCUUGAAAAAGAGGUACAGGAAAAAACAGCACUCAUAGAACAAUGUGUCGCACAAAUAAAGGAACUAGAAAAGAAUAAUUUACAGGAGAAAAAUACUCUAAUAGAAAAUAUGAAAAAAGAAUUUGAAAAUAGUACAAAUACUUUAAAAGAACAACUGCAACAGGCCACAGAAAUGAUAGAGACUGUACGAAAAGAAGCCACGAGUGAAAAGGAAUUAUUGGUAUCCAAAUAUGAGAAAAUGGUAGAGGAGAAAGAAAAUCUUCUAAAAAUCAAAACGCAAGAAUUAGAGAUUGAAUCUAGGAAACAAUUAGAGUCACAAAACGUAGCUUUGGAAGAUCUUAAAGCUGAGAACAUGAAGCAAAUUAACAAACUUUCAGAAUCCUUUAACGAACAGUUGAAUGUGAAGGAUUCAGAAAUCAAGGAAGUUUCAAUGCAGCUAAAUCAGAAGAUAUCUGAGACUGAGAAAUUAAUGGCAGAAUUAUCAGCGCAGGUUGAAAUAAAUAAAAAGAAAGAUGAAGAAUUAAGUAUCACUUUAAAAAAGAUUGAAGAACUGAGCGAGAAGCUGAAAUUAAUGGAAGAGAAAAAUGAUAUGCUUUCUAAGCAACUACAAGAAUAUCAAUCAAAGGCUGAAGAUAGUUUUAAAAUACUUCAAGAAAAACAAAAAUUAGAACAAGACAUUGCUUCUUUACGGGCUACCGAAGUAAAUUCAUCUACGCAGUUGCAAAAAUUGAAUGAAGAAUUGAAAGUUAAAGAGAAGGAGUUAUCGGAGCUUCGUUUAUCUACAGAGACUGAAAUAAAAAAAUUAAUUAAUCGUUAUGAAUGCCAAAUUGAAGAGAAGACGAAGUAUAUUGAAGAAGCAAAUACAAAUAUAUCUCAGAAGUCUCUGUUACUUAGCAAAUUAGAAAAUGAUAUAGUUGAACUGAAAUCCAUUCUAGCGAAUAAAGAUGAAGAAAUAAAAAAUCUUACAAAGAAAACUUCAGAGUUGCAGAAUGCGCUUACCAUAUCAGAACAAAGUAAGACAAAUUUGGAGAAUCAACUCCGAGCAUUCGAAAGUAACAUAGAAAACUUAAAUCAACAGGUGGCUGGUACAGAAAAUAAACUGUCGCAGGUCACAGCUCAAAAAGAAAAAUUGGAAUCUGAUAUUGCAAAUUUGAUAAGUAGUUCCACUGAUUCGUCUGCGCAACUUGUAAAAUAUAAUGAAGAUUUGCGAAUCAAAGAGAAAGAAUUGGAUGAAUUAAAAGAUAAAGUAUUCAAAAGUGAUAAUACGCUCAAAUCGUUAGAGGCUAAAUUGAAUAACACUGAGGUAGAAUUAAAAGAAGCUACUACAGUAAUUCAAGAACAACGCUCAGCAUUAGAAGAUAAUAAGACUCAAUUAGAAAAGGAGAGAGCAUUAAAUACAACAUUAUCUGAUAAAAUGAAAGCUAUUGAAAUAGAAAACGUAGAACUCAAUAAACAAAUACAGGAGAAUGAACGCGUUAAACAAAAUCUUAAAGAAAAAUCUGAAGAAACAUCAAAUCUUAUGAGUCAAUUAGCAAGUAGUAAAGAGGAGAUUGUUAAUCUUCAGAAACAAUGCGAUACUUUGCAAAAUUCACAUAAAGAAGAAGUAUCAUCACUUCAAAAAGAAGUAAGUAAUUUGCAAUCGGAGCUAGCAGCUUCUAAAGAAGAAACAAAAGCUUUGCAAAAACUGAAAUCUAAAUUAGAGGCUGAUCAAAGUGCCAAUCGUUGGUCUAUCGAAGAACUAACAGAAAAAUUAGAAGCUGAAACUAAAAGUCGUUCAAAGUUGGAAUCUUUGAUAGCAGAAAAAGAUUCUAAUUUUCAGCAGUUGCAAAAUAAAUACUUAAAACUGCAAGAAACAAACGAAACAUUAGCAGCUAGUAAAGAAACCAGUAAUAAAAAUCUUGCAACUUCGUUGCAAACUAUGUCCAGUGAAAUAAAUGAAUUGAAAGACAAACUAGUCAGUGCAACAGAGACUAUCAAAGUUAAAGAAGAUGCUCUUCUUCAAACGAAGAAAGAAGCUGAGCAAACUGAAGCACAGAUUUCGCAACUUAAUGAAACUAUUACACGUAUGCAAAAAGAACAGUCAGACAGUGCAAGUGAAAUGAAGAAAAUACAAGAUAUACUUACAGCAAAAAAAACAGAAAUGUCCAACAUUUUAGAGACAAAAGCUUCCUUGGAAAGUAAAGUGCAAACUUUAGAAUCACAAUUAUUAGAUAAUACAAAAACUUUGGAGUCCCAAUUAAAGAAUGUACAACAAGAAUUAGCCACAAAAGAUAAUUCACUUCAGGAGAUGGAACGUUUAAUGAAAGAAUUGGAAAGCUCCAAAGAUGAAUCAAUAACGAAGUUACAAAGUAAUUAUGAAUGUGAAAUCAAAUCUAAGCAAACUGAACUUGAAACUGCAAUAAAGGAAAGUUCUGACUUACAACAGAAACAUCAAUCGCUUCAGAAUUUGAAAAUGCACAAACAGAGAAGCUUAAAACAGAUGAACAGACACGAAAUGAGGAGGUCAAAGUCAUUCAGAGUCAACUUAAUGAAGUGAUCAAAGAAAAUAGAAACUUGAUAGAUACUAAAGAAUCGCUUGAAAAAUUAUUAAAAGAUCAGGAAGAGAAAGUUGAGAUGCUAACAAAUACUAUCAAAAACAAGGAUAAAGAAACUGAGAAGAAUAUGCAGAAUUUGAUGGAAAAAUUAAAUCGUAUAUCUUCGGAAUCCGCACAAUUGAAGGAAGUACAAAACAAUUUGGAAAAGGAAAAUAAAUUAAUUACUGCAAAGUGGACAGAAGCAACGAAUCAGUUAAAACUAACUCGUGAAAAUAUAAAGAACAACUAUGAU